rnacentral:lncRNA from 1 species
UGUUGCCUUUGUUGUUGGUGGACAAGGUUUUUUCCCUUUAGGUGAUGGUUUAAUUACUGGUGGAACUGUGACUGGUGGAAUUCCAAUAGGUGGCAAAUCAACUGGAGGUUUUACAAUUGGUGGAACUGUGACCGGUGGAAUCCCAACAGGUGGCAAAUCAACAGGUGGUUUUACGAUUGGUGGAAUUCCGACAGGUGGCAAUUUGACUGGUGGUUUUACGAUCGGUGGAAUUCCGAUAGGGGGCAAAUUAACAGGUGGUUUCACGAUUGGUGGAAUUCCGAUAGGGGGCAAAUCGACAGGGGGUUUGACAAUGGGAGUGGGAACUUUGGGCUUUUUGGGCUUGUGAGAAGGUUUACCACAAUAGCCACAUCCAAGAAUGGGAGUGAAUGAAGAAAGGAAAAGCAUAGAAAUGAAAAGAAGUGAAGUUAUC